UCGAUCGCUAAUGUACAGUCAAUGGCGGCAUGGCGGAGACGCGCAUUGGAACUUGGAAGUGGAUGCAUGUGCGACUUGAUGUGGCGUUGCAUGUGGGAGGCUCCAUUGGUAAUGUUGGCAGACUGGUCAUUUGAUGAUACGUGUGAACAGUGAUAGUGCUUGGGUGCCUUAAGAGGGAAUCGCAGAACAUAGCCAUAGAGCUAGAAGUCAUAGAAGAUUUUUAAAUUGUUAUUUGAUUUUGUGUUGUUUCAGCAGUAGUAUGUCCUUCAACAAUCUGUUAUGUCCAAACAUGGAAUGAGUCGCAUGUGACUAAGUCAACCAAAUGUGGCAACAACAAUUAGUCAGCAAUGGAAUUAGUCAGUGGAAAACAACACAUUCAUUCCUGAGGAUGGUUUUGAGUUUAUCUAUGCUUAAUGCCAACUGGAAGGAUUCCUCUUUUUCACAGAACUUUACCAUUUUCAUGGUAUACUUAACUGUUUGUCAGCGGAUUGUCACUUGGCAUCAUUAGAAUGGUAUGGUCCAUAUCAGCAGUGUUAUGAUGCACUUCUUAAUACACCAAUCGCUCAGAAAAUAUUCAAAUUGAAAUUAUGGAAAUUUCUGCCCUUCAUGCAGAACUGCACAAUGAUGGGGUAGAAUAAUCGCAAUGUCGUGGUAGUAAUUCGCGAGAGAUAUGCCAAUAGGGUUUCGCUGUUUUCAAUUCGCAAUCGUAAUGGAUUUGAAGAGGAUAUUGAUGGAGUUUUGGUAUAAAAAAGUACAUGUUCGUUGGAAGGGCACCGAAGAGUUCCGGAUCCUUUUACUAUCGCACAUAUUAUGGUAUUUUUACAAAAAUCAUUGAAGUGCUUAUUUGGAACCCAUUUUUUUCUGUGGCCCCGUUUCCCCCUUGACUUAUAAGUAAGUAUAAGUAAAUCCGGAAGAUAAACGUCGAAUUGUUGGCGAUAUGUUUGUCAAAGUGAUAGAUAGAACGGCUAACGAUUUAAAUGUCACUUGGGAUAAUCUACUUCUCGGAUAAGACAUCUAGGGGAGAAAUAACUAACUCCGUAGAAUUUUUAUUGGUAUGUCAGCUGUCCCGUCAGCUGUUCCAUUUCGCGUGGCUUCGGACAGAGGAUGGCUGCUGAAACGAACGUCUCUUCUUGAAAUUUUACCACUGAUUCCGUGUAUUUUGAGUUGCAUCUUGUGAAUUCAAUCAAUGCAGAGUUGUUCAAGGAGCCAUAAAGACUCAUCAUAACGAUUCCGAAAUGGUUCGUCAGUUUCGCAUUUACGGUAGUGUAGUAGAACCUCUUAAAGAUUUCAUUUCCUUAAAGAUGAAGUAAGGUCUUAGGUCGUGAGCUGGGUCUGUCCACAGUAUUACUGGAAUGUUACCCGUUUCCUGGUCCUGGUUAUAUAUUUAUAUUUAGUUAUAUUAUUAUUCUUAAAACCCAGAGGUGUUCUUCACUUUUCAGGGGAUUGAUUGAUGAUACUUGUUGAUUAAUCCAUGAAGAAUGGAUAAGUGGAGGGUAAUAAAAGUUUAAAAUUGUAA